rnacentral:rRNA from 1 species
UACGUAGGGGGCAAGCGUUGUCCGGAUUUAUUGGGCGUAAAGAGCUCGUAGGCGGUUGGGCAAGUCACGUGUGAAAUCUCCACGCUCAACGUGGAGGCGCCACGUGAGACUGCCCUGACUCGAGUCCGGUAGGGGAGCGUGGAAUUCCCGGUGUAGCGGUGAAAUGCGCAGAUAUCAGGAGGAACACCGGUGGCGAAGGCGGAUCUCUGGGCCAUUACUGACGCUGAGGAGCGAAAGCGUGGGGAGCGAACAGG